UAUAGGAAGACUAUGUAGGUUACAUGCAGGGAGGUGUGACUAGGGCUGCAUAAACAAAGUGAUUUAAGUCCUAAAUGGCAGAGAAUUGAACAGUUAGACUGCAGGGGCAUGAUAUAUAGACCAAAACCACUCCCUUAAGCUGAAGUUGUUUUGAUGCUGAAUUGAAAUAUUUAUUUAUUUUUUUUCUGACAGCUGAACACAGGCACAGGACACAAUUCAGAAUGAU